GAAAGAUGGUUCUGCUAUCACUCUUGGAUGGACCUGCGGUGCAUUAGCUAGUUGGUAAGGUAACGGCUUACCAAGGCAAUGAUGCAUAGCCGAGUUGAGAGACUGAUCGGCCACAUUGGGACUGAGACACGGCCCAAACUCCUACGGGAGGCAGCAGUAGGGAAUCUUCCACAAUGGACGAAAGUCUGAUGGAGCAACGCCGCGUGAGUGAAGAAGGGUUUCGGCUCGUAAAGCUCUGUUGGUAGUGAAGAAAGAUAGAGGUAGUAACUGGCCUUUAUUUGACGGUAAUUACUUAGAAAGUCACGGCUAACUACGUGCCAGCAGCCGCGGUAAUACGUAGGUGGCAAGCGUUGUCCGGAUUUAUUGGGCGUAAAGCGAAUGCAGGCGGUUCAAUAAGUCUGAUGUGAAAGCCUUCGGCUCAACCGGAGAAUUGCAUCAGAAACUGUUGAACUUGAGUGCAGAAGAGGAGAGUGGAACUCCAUGUGUAGCGGUGGAAUGCGUAGAUAUAUGGAAGAACACCAGUGGCGAAGGCGGCUCUCUGGUCUGCAACUGACGCUGAGGCUCGAAAGCAUGGGUAGCGAACAGGAUUAGAUACCCUGGUAGUCCA
rnacentral:rRNA from 1 species